rnacentral:rRNA from 1 species
AAGUCGGAAUCGCUAGUAAUCGUGGAUCAGAAUGCCACGGUGAAUACGUUCCCGGGCCUUGUACACACCGCCCGUCACACCAUGGGAGUGGGUUGCAAAAGAAGUAGGUAGCUUAACCUUCGGGAGGGCGCUUACCACUUUGUGAUUCAUGACUGGGGUGAAGUCGUAACAAGGUAACCGUAGGGGAACCUGCGGUUGGAUCACCUCCUUA